GAUGAAGAACGCAGCGAAAUGCGAUAAGUAAUGUGAAUUGCAGAAUUCAGUGAAUCAUCGAAUCUUUGAACGCACCUUGCACCCUUUGGCUAUUCCGAAGGGUAUGCCUGUUUGAGUAUCAUGAACACCUCAACUCUCAUGGUUUGCCAUGAUGAGCUUGGACUUUGGGGGUCUUGCUGGCCUGUGGUCAGCUCCUCUCAAAUGGAUUAGCUUGCCAGUGUUUGGUGGCAUCACAGGUGUGAUAACUAUCUACGCUUGUGGUUUUCCACCAGGUAACCUUCAGCAAUGGGGGUUCGCUGGGGCUCAUAAAUGUCUCUCCUCAGUGAGGAGAGCUCUUUGAACGUUUGAUCUCAAAUCAGGUGGGACUACCCGCUGAACUUAAGCAUAUCAAUAAGCGGAGGA
rnacentral:misc_RNA from 1 species